GGGGAGGUGCCAGAGAGGUCGAAUGGGGCCGCCUGCUAAGCGGUUAUAGCCUAAACAGCUAUCGAGGGUUCGAAUCCCUCCCUCUCCG
rnacentral:tRNA from 1 species